UACGUAGGGGGCAAGCGUUGUCCGGAAUCAUUGGGCGUAAAGCGCGUGUAGGCGGCCAGAAAAGUCCGCUGUGAAAACUCGAGGCUCAACCUCGAGAGGUCAUCGGAAACCAUCUGGCUAGAGUCCGGAAGAGGAGAGUGGAAUUCCAGGUGUAGCGGUGAAAUGCGUAGAUAUCUGGAGGAACACCGGUGGCGAAGGCGGCAUCCUGGACCAAUAUUGACGCUGAGGAGCGAAAGCCAGGGGAGCAAACGGG
rnacentral:rRNA from 1 species